CAACAUCAAUUGAGUCAUCUUUGUGCCGACAUUUUUCAUUGUCACUUUCGAGACUGCGGGAAAAUCUACAAAAUUUCAUUCUCCAACUCGCCCUGUUUAUAAAUGCGAUAAAGAAGACUGUGGGAAAUUAUAUUUGUCACAAAGUUCUUUGCUUCAUCAUAAAGAGUUUCGGCACGAAGGCAUAAAAAAGUUUUCCUGUACUUAUAACCGCUGCAC